rnacentral:rRNA from 1 species
UACGUAGGUGGCAAGCGUUGUCCGGAAUUAUUGGGCGUAAAGCGCGCGCAGGCGGUCCUUUAAGUCUGAUGUGAAAGCCCACGGCUCAACCGUGGAGGGUCAUUGGAAACUGGAGGACUUGAGUACAGAAGAGGAAAGCGGAAUUCCACGUGUAGCGGUGAAAUGCGUAGAGAUGUGGAGGAACACCAGUGGCGAAGGCGACUCUCUGGUCUGUAACUGACGCUGAGGCGCGAAAGCGUGGGUAGCGAACAGG